AAAGUCGUAACAAGGUUUCCGUAGGUGAACCUGCGGAAGGAUCAUUAACAGACUCUGCUAGUCAGAUUUCUACCCUGUGUGAAUUGUUCUAACGACUUGGUGUUCAUGCUGGUGAGAGGGUUUGAGUUGGGGGUCUUGGUGGUAUUUGUGAGGGUUUUGUUACCCUCUAUGGUUACUCCAAUACCCUCUGUUGAGGCUUCUGUUAGGCUUCUAUCGAGGCCUUAUCGAGGCCUUAUCAGACCCUCUAUAGAACCCUCUUACGAGGAUUCUAAUGAGGCUCUUAUGAGACUACUAGCUAAGCACCCUAUUACCCAUCUACCCUUCUAACUGAGACAGACCCUACGUAAAGACUAGAAAACUUUUAGCAACGGAUCUCUAGGCUCUU
rnacentral:misc_RNA from 1 species